CAAUAGCGUAUAUUUAAGUUGCUGCAGUUAAAAAGCUCGUAGUUGGAUUUCGGGUGGGAAUGGCCGGUCCGCCGUUUCGGUGUGCACUUGCUACGCCCACCUUGCUGCCGGGGACGUGCUCUUGAGUUCACGCUCGGGACACGGAGUCGGCGAGGUUACUUUGAGUAAAUUAGAGUGUUCAAAGCAGGCCUACGCUCUGAAUACAUUAGCAUGGAAUAACACGAUAGGACUCUGGCCUAUCUUGUUGGUCUGUAGGACCGGAGUAAUGAUUAAGAGGGACAGUCGGGGGCAUUCGUAUUUCAUUGUCAGAGGUGAAAUUCUUGGAUUUAUGAAAGGCGAACUACUGCGAAAGCAUUUGCCAAGGAUGUUUUCAUUAA
rnacentral:rRNA from 1 species